rnacentral:lncRNA from 1 species
AUGGCAGUUGCAGUUGGGUCACCAAGUCUACAUUCCGUCCCGCUGAGUCAGCCUUCCUUGGAUGGCUUUCCUGGAAGCCCCACCCGCCAGCUUCUUACAGCUCAGAACCCUACUCAGGGCUGGGCACCAUGUCACACAAGGCACCUCUCUGCUCCCAACCUACACAAGUUGUGUGACUCCAGGGUCUCCCCUUUCUCUGCUGCCACCCCAUGCCCACCGUCCUUGUGGAUUCCACUUGGAUCGCCCCACAGGAGAAGCUGGAGCCAUGGCUGUGCUUGGUACUCACGCGUCAUGGCCUGUGUCUCCACACUGUCUGGCUACUUGCCGGCCACACUGGCUCAUUUGCCCUGGCACGUGGUGAUGCAUGAACCGGGACCCCACAGAACUCUGGGACAGUGUACUGUACCAACAGCCAGCGUCACCUGCUUGAAACAGUGCCACCCCUGCAAUGCCGUGAUGAGGCUAGACUUUGCCUGUCACCUGGGUGAAGGCAGAGGUGCGGCAGGGAGAACCAUGGCCCCCACCGGCCAACACCAGGAUGAGCAAAAUGGUAUCUGCCGGAGAAGAAGCCGGGCAGAGCAAGGUGGUCAGGCCAGGGCCAUGCCAUUAACACACCCUGGUUGCCUCUUUCGAGAAUAUCUACUGUGUUUAUGAGGCAGCCCUGUGGGAAGCACCUUAUACAAGGUUCAGGGGAUUGGAGAGACUCGUCCCUCGUCCUCACAGAGCCCUACGUUGCUGACUACCUGCCAGGACGCCCACCGCCUGCUCACCUGGAGCCUCAGUGCUUCUUGAUUGCAGCAUCUCAAGACCCAAAGCCACUUCGUUCUUUGUAGGACCCCAGCGGUGGCAUGGUCUGAGCGUCUGCAUUUGACACCGUUCAGCGGACGUGCAUUUCCAAGCUCAGCCACCACUCUGCUCAGUGCCGGGGAGAGAGGGAGCUGGGUGUCACUCGCAGAUGGCCCACGGUGGCAUGGAGCUCGGGCCGGGCACAGUCCUACUCCUGUGUAGGAGAGGAGAGUUUCACGGAGGCCACACUCCUGGCGUGGAACCCGUCCUUCCACCACGGGCUGUGGAAGCCAGGAGAGGAGACCCAUCCUCCUCUGACAGCAAAGACUUGCCCGCUGACAUCACCAAGUGAGGGACCAACUGCCCAUUUCGACGUUAAAAGAGCGUGCGGGGGUGCAUGUGCCGUAGAGCCACACAGACUCCCCCACUCAGAUGUGAAGACCCGGGUCUUUAUGUGGACACUGGAGAGGCAGGCACGUGCUGGGCUUGUGGGGGGGUCUCUUCCUUCUGGAAAGUCUCCACGUCCUGAGCAGGGUCUCUGCACGUGUGCAUCUACCUGGCCAUCACCCAAGGCUGGAAGCGGGAAUCCAGGGGGUGGCGUGGCCUCUGGGCCACGUGGGCACACGUGACACACCGUUCGUUCCAGGCCGGCUCUCCAGACUGCUGAUGUGAUUUUCUGAAUGUCUUCCUGGUUCUUCGAGUGCUCGGCAGCAAUGACCUCAUGCCCCAUCUGCUGCUUUCUCCCGGCUCCCCUUCCUCCUCCUGGAAACCAUGCUCUCAUCUGCGGGGCACCUGCCGUGUGUGCCCCCCUCCUCCGUAGGAGGCCUCUGGCCGAGCCGGCAGCUUUCACAGUGGCCAGGCUGGCCCGAGAGGAGCAGAGCGCCACCCUGCCGCGGCCUCCCCACCGAGAGCCCGUGGUCCCCGUGGUCCUGCAGCGCACCCUCAUUUGUCCUGCUCACUGAAGAUGCUCGCUGCCUCUCAUGUAAUGGUGACACCCAGAUCUCACGCCACUAAGACAAGAAGAGCUCUCCACGAGAGUCCAGCAGACCGGAGCAAAAUGCUAACGAGGCAGGACGUUGGUGUCGUUUUAAUUUCUCUUCGUCCGGGGUCAGUGGAGACUAGCGGCCACUCCCUGCUCUCGUCCUGGGGAACACGGACAGCUGAGCCAUCAGAGCUCACAUGUACACGCUGACACUCACAUGUAUGUGUACAUACAAACACACUUGCACACAGGCACACACAUGUGCACUCAGUGCACACCUGUGUUCACAUGCCCUUGUGUAUACAUGCAAAUACAUGCACGGAUACAUGACACUCAUGUAUAUGCACACAAACACAUGUACACACUCGAACGCAUGCACACUCAUAUGCACACAUACACACACACAUACACAACUCUGUAAGUUACUUCCCAGAUCAGAGACUGAGACCUUUCCUGCUCCUGGAAGUAAGUGGAAUGAAGCUACGUGGAGAGGGCCUCCCCUCUCUAUGUCGUGCUGCCAAGGUCCCAAGGGUCUGAUGCAGGGAGGGGGUGGGCGGCACCUGUGUGAGGCUGCUGUCCUCCUGGGUCCAGGGGUGGGACCAAGGCUGGAGGUCCCGCUGGCUUCCUGGGCGCCCCCCUCCCCCAGAGCCACGCUUGGCUCUGGUGUGAGGGGCAGGUGUUGAGGGCUGGCCCACCACAGUAACACACGUUCCCUACCAUAAACCCCGCACUGGCCGUUGGCCCUCUAAGAUGUGGCUCCUGCCCUCAGGAAGGCAUGAUUCUUCCAGAGAGACCAGACAGAGGUCCCUGUCUCUCGGAGUCAGAGCAGGGGCAGCUGGACAGACUUCCAGGGAAAGGAGUUUCCUGAAGCUCCGGGCACCUCCACGGAGCCCGCGGCCCGUUCUUUCCCACCUCGUCCUGCUGAAGGGGAAGGAGGAUUGUGGCCGGGGGGGAAGGCGACGAGGAAUCUCCGUGCGAGGGCCACGCGUGCCGGGCGGUGCACCCUUCUGGAAUACCCCGGGGGGCUGGAGAAAGCCGGGAAGGACGAAGAAGCUGCAGGGGGCAGCCUGGCACGCGGAUGGGCAGGCGAAGCACGAAGCUACGUUUCCCGGGGAGGACGAGAGUCCCGUUUCAGACAAGAGCCAAAACGAUGAAAAGUUCAGUAAAUUUGUCAGAUCCGCAGUGUGAGCGCAGUGGGACAGUGGACGGUCGGCAGGAAGGGCGCUGGCUCACCCCCUCCUAACACCUUCCCGUCCUCCUUGGGGGACGGCUGAGGGCCCGGGAACACCCUGGCUAGUGGAGCCUGGUCACUGUAGGCUCAUGGGGUCCGCGUGGCCCCUCGAGGUCCACUGAGGCCAGCAGCCCACCAUUCACGGUCAUCACAGCUGCCCCUUCUGGUGGCGAGCCUGCACCUCGGUGAGAACCACUCCGCACCGCGUCCCCACGCUCCUGCUUAGCCACCCAGCGUGGGGUGAGGGCCUUGUGCUUCCUUUGUAAGAUUUUCAGAGUAUUAUUUCCAGGUGUUUCUCCAGCUUCGGGUGUGGGUCUGUUUCCAUCAGAGCUCUCCUGAACAUGGGCAGGUGCAUUCUCAGUUUCCAAAUGGGACUUCCUUAUUUCAGAGACACAAACGUGAGUGUUGCCGAUUGUCCCGUUGCAGUAACAGCGUGGUUUAGUCGCAACAGGAGCAGAUAUUUGGGUUUAUAGCCAGAUUUGCUUCCACACACUUUAGAACCUGGGGCUGUGGGUAGCCCGGGUGGCUCAGCGGUUUAGCACCGCCUUCAGCCCAGGGCGUGAUCCUGGACACCCCAGAUCGAGUCCCACGUCGAGCUCCCUGCAUGGAGCCUGCUUCUCCCUCUGCCUGUGUCUCUGUCUCUCUCUCUCUGUCUCUAUCUCUCACGAAUAAAUAAAUAAAAUCUUAAAAAAAAAAAAAAAAGAACCUGGGGCUGUUCUUCACCUGCUGUGAGAAUUGAUCUUUCGGAGAAAGACAGGUGUCUGGUGGUGGUGGGACUGAGCUCGGUGGCCCCUGGCCCUCUCUGAUCCCGGUUUCCCACACAUUCAGCGGCGAGGUGACCAUUCACCGCUUCUCCCAUGGAUUCUCUCUUGCCAACCACGAAUGCUUCAAAUGCAUCAAGACUAGAGGACAAAUUUAUAUCUCCAACUCAAGUCAGCUCGCAUGAGUGGACACCCUGUCAGGAUGGAGCGACCAGUGUGUACCCAGUGGGUUCCACUUUGGGCAAGUGUGGCUGUGGGGUCUGCUGAGCACUGUACAUGCGACUCCCGGUUUCCCAGGCUCAGAAGCGUCCCGGAGCAGGAGAUGCUCGCUGGCCGGGGCUGAAGGCAGGGCCUGCCGCAGGAGGAGCUUCUUGAGCCCGGGCGAGCGUGCCCAGUACCAGAGCCCCUCCUCCCUGCGGGUGGGAUGCGGGGCGUGUGCGUGGUCCCUGCAGGACACACGUCCCACCCACGACGAUGCCCAGAGGGAGGGCACAGUGCCGGGCGCUGAACUCACUUGCCUGGGAGAGUUGUCCUAGAAGGGAAAACCCACACGCCGCCGUGGUGGACCUUGACCUCCUGGCCAAACAAGAAACAAGGCUCUCUUGUCCUCACUCUCCAAGAAGCGGCCCCGCGAACACACCCCGAUUGUGAGGUUGCUGCUGACCGAUGCAAAUCACUGCUGGCUCCAGACUGCAGCAGCCGAAGACAGGGCCUUCGGUUUGGCCGUUGCACGUGGGAGUGAUGGACCUCGAGCGGCCCCGCCAGCGCACAGACUGGACCGCACCCCGAGUCCCCUCACCCCGACCUGGGGCAGCUCCUCAGACAGUAGCUCCAAGGGUGCUGAGCUCAGUACCAGUCAGAAGCACUUCAUGGAAUGAUCACUAAGUAUUUUGUGAAUCAAGUCCGUAUUUCCCAUGUACUUAUAACACGAAAUCGUUAGGCAUCAUCUUUGUCCCGAACAGCUCUGGAGGCGCUUGGCAGAUUUUGGCUUACAUUUGUCAUUGAAGG